CGGACGGGUGAGUAACGCGUGGGUAACCUGCCCUGUACAGGGGGACAACAGCUGGAAACGGCUGCUAAUACCGCAUAAGCCCUUAGCACUGCAUGGUGCAUAGGGAAAAGGAGCAAUCCGGUACAAGAUGGACCCGCGUCUGAUUAGCUGGUUGGUGAGGUAACGGCCCACCAAGGCGACGAUCAGUAGCCGGCCUGAGAGGGUGAACGGCCACAUUGGGACUGAGACACGGCCCAA
rnacentral:rRNA from 1 species